AAAAACCCAAGACUUUUGUUGUUCAUCGCAUUUGUUUUCUUUUUUUCGUAAACCAAGAUGUAAAUUUUUUUACGUCAAGGGCUGCUUUAAUUAAAAAGAUUUAGUAUGUACUAUGAUCAAUUUUUUUUUUAUUUGAGUUUUUAUUUUAUUUUUUUUUUGUCAGAGCAAUAUUUAAACCUGUAUUACUACAAGUUUGAUCAAAAUAAAUGGGAAAAGUUUGC
rnacentral:misc_RNA from 1 species